CUACCCUUGACAUGGUCGGAAUCCUGCUGAGAGGUGGGAGUGCUCGAAAGAGAACCGACGCACAGGUGCUGCAUGGCUGUCGUCAGCUCGUGUCGUGAGAUGUUGGGUUAAGUCUCGCAACGAGCGCAACCCUUGUCCUUAGUUGCUACGCAAGAGCACUCUAAGGAGACUGCCGGUGACAAACCGGAGGAAGGUGGGGAUGACGUCAAGUCCUCAUGGCCCUUAUGGGUAGGGCUUCACACGUCAUACAAUGGUCGGAACAGAGGGUUGCCAAGCCGCGAGGUGGAGCCAAUCCCAGAAAACCGAUCGUAGUCCGGAUUGCAGUCUGCAACUCGACUGCAUGAAGCUGGAAUCGCUAGUAAUCGCGGAUCAGCAUGCCGCGGUGAAUA
rnacentral:rRNA from 1 species